GAGAUAGCUCAGUUGGAUAGAGCAUGGUGCUGAUAAUGCCAAGGUUGCAGGUUCAAUCCCCACAUGGGACA